AGGUGCCACGCAUAAAGGUGCCCCGUCACCGCUCCUUCUGCCACGCAUAAAGGUGCCCCGUCACCGCUCCUUCUGCCACGCAUAAAGGUGCCACGCAAGAGCAUCCAAAGGAUAGGUUCAAGAAUGGUCUCCGCCUGAAACGUCACCCAUUCCUUCUCGCCAGAGAUGCUGCCUGUCACUCCAGGUUUUUGUGUCCAUGUUCUGGAAUAAUAAUGUAAUAGUAAUAGAAUAAACGAGACAACAAUAUAGUGAAAUCACCUUCACUGGACAGUUUUAGGGGGGCACUAACAGCACGUUAGUGUGCACAACACAUCCAAGUUGGCGAUAUGCAGAGUACUGCCCUGCCGACUACAAAUUCAGAAGGGGGCUUCGAGCCCUCCAUUGACUGGGACGGUCUUGACUCCUGCAGUCGUCGGCGUUUGGGCCCUCCACGUCGAGGCGUUCAGCUCCUGCAUCGGGGGGUUGUCAGCUCCCCCGAGCCGGGCGAUCGAACCUCGCGUCAGAGCUGGUCGAACCUUCUGCGGCGUUGGAGUUCCUGACUAGCCUCUCCCGAAACUGCGAGCCCUUGAUGGGUAAAACCUCAUGGGUAGACCUUCAGCUGACCAACGAUGCUUGGGCUCACUGGAUCAAUGGGCCUUGGCAGAGGAAGACCAAUCCCAACCACAAACUGGUGUGGAUCCUGCUGGUCUGAAAAUCUGGAGGAGGCCAAAUUAUAUGUCUACCUCAAAUUGCUUUUGUGAGAUGUUUCCAUGUUAAAGGAUACGUGCACGUUGUUGAUUGGAGAGUCAAGACAGUGCCACUAAUUUAUCAUUUCAAAUGGCAGCACUCAGUCACUGGGGAGGUGUUAUUAUUGAAAUGUAUUAAAAUACGUUUUCUAUCUCCAAAUUGUAACCUUGGUUAUAUUUGGUCAGUGUGAACGUGAUGGGCCGAGUGGAGCCCUUCUAUGCCAUAAAAUGGUUUGAAAGAGAGAGAUAAAUAUAUUCCAAAGCACAAUUCUGUCAACGGUGCUUUAUCACCUUUGUAAUGCAGACACAUCUUUGUAAUCACCAUACUCCCACAAACAGUGAUAUAAUAAAGACCAGAUAAAUUGUACCUAUGACAUUUUCUUCCACAAAAUGCCUGUUAUUAAUGGCAGAGCAUUGGGCACCAUGGUUUCCAGUGCAGGUGUCUGUUUAAAUCGCCCAUGGAAUGUUCCAUCCUGCUGGAUGUCUCGCAGCUGCCCUCGUGGUGCUCUGGGGGAGAUAUCUCAUCAACAGGGCAGCAGUACCUUUCACACGUUUCCCAGCUCUCGGGCUGGAAAUCCUGUCUGGUUAAAUAGUGCGAGCACAGUAAUCUUUCUCUCAGACAGGCCCUGGGGGCCCUGGAUGACUUGUUCUCGCUCCAUUUCCGACAAGUAGAAGAUACCAUGAGUUCACUUAUUAACAUUGUACACAGAUCCCAUUGAAGUAAAUGGGAGAUAUUGCAUCUUGGAAGAAAGGUAAGAAGUUGUGUUUUAGUAUUUCCGUAAAUUUGUUUUAAUAGUUUUAAUUGACAUUUAAUCUUUUAAUCUGCAAUUAAUCGUUAGUGAUCUAAGAUCCAUUUUACCGAAUAUUGCCACUCGCUUGGAUGUUAUUUUAGUACAUGCACAGUAGAUACACAGAGUCUCUUGCCCAGAGAAGGUGAAUCAAGGACUAGAGGACUUAGGUUUAAGGUGAAGGGGAAAAGAUUUAAUAGAAAUCUGAGGGGUAACUUUUUUACACAAAGGGUGUUAGGUGUAUGGAACAAGCUGCCAGAGGAGGUAGUUGAGGCAGGGACCAUCCCAACAUAUAAGAAACAGUUACACAGGUACAUGUGAAAGAGCUAAUAGUCAAAUCUAAUAGUCAAAUCUAAAAUGGAGUCGUUCUUCUACAAAAGCAUGGCUUAGUAGAACAAAAGAAUCGCUCGGUGCCAAGUCUGAAUGACUUUGUAAAUUAUAUGGAACAAAAUAUGGAGGACAGGUUGUCUUUUCAAUAAAGACAUUAAGAUGGCAGCCUGCGUAAUAACAUGUGCUUCUUUUCAAGGCCAUGAAGAAGACAAGAUUGAAAAAAUAGCUGACGCUCCAGAGAUAUGUAAUAACUUGUUAUUGGAUGAGCUUGAUAUAGACCCAGCUUUUCUUAUAUUCUGAAAGGCUACAGAAUCUUUCAGUCAUGCCAUAUUCAGACUUGGUAGGAGUGUUUUACUGAUAAGAAACAUGUAUAAUUGUGCUAGCUUUCCUUUGUUCUGUGAGUGGAGCUCGAGAAGCACUGAGCAACGUUUGUGCUCAUUGUAGAUCUUUGCCAUUCCCAUCUGAUGAAUCAAUUAAAGAUUGCCAUGGUUUACCUUUAACAGCUUUUUGUUGCUAUUUGUUGCUAUCUGCUUUUUAAGAAACGGACUUUGACAUAUGGAUACGAGGUUUGAAGGGAUAUGGACCAAAUGUGGGCAGGUGGAACGAGUGUAGCUGGGACAUGUUGGCCGAUGUGGAAAAGUUGGGUCAAAGGGCUGGGGACACAACAUGCUGGAGAAACUCAUCAGGUCAGGCAGCAUCUCUGGAGAAAAAGAAUAGGUGAUGUUUUGGAUUUGAAAGGCCCCAAGCUCACUCCAGGCUGUGACAGCCUAAGAACCAGGGGCCACAUUUUAAGAAUUAGGAGUAGGCCAUUUAGAACAUAGAUGAGGAAAAACGUUUUCACCCAGAGAGUUGUGAAUCUGUGGAAUUCUCUCCCUCAGAGGGCAGGGAGGGCAAUUCUCUGUAUGCUUUCAAGAGAGAGUUAGAUAGAGUUCUUAAAGCUAGCGGAGUCAGGGUAUAUGGCGAGAAGGCAGGAACGGGGUACUAAUUCUGGAUUAUCAGCUAUGAUCAUAUUGAAUCGAUUAUAGGAGCAAAGAGGUCCUUCUGCAGUUAUACAGAGCCCU